UCACUGAUGGAUGGACCCGCGGUGCAUUAGCUAGUUGGUGAGGUAACGGCUCACCAAGGCCACGAUGCAUAGCCGACCUGAGAGGGUGAUCGGCCACACUGGGACUGAGACACGGCCCAGACUCCUACGGGAGGCAGCAGUAGGGAAUCUUCGGCAAUGGACGAAAGUCUGACCGAGCAACGCCGCGUGAGUGAAGAAGGUUUUCGGAUCGUAAAACUCUGUUGUUAGAGAAGAACAAGGAUGAGAGUAGAACGUUCAUCCCUUGACGGUAUCUAACCAGAAAGCCACGGCUAACUACGUGCCAGCAGCCGCGGUAAUACGUAGGUGGCAAGCGUUGUCCGGAUUUAUUGGGCGUAAAGCGAGCGCAGGCGGUUUCUUAAGUCUGAUGUGAAAGCCCCCGGCUCAACCGGGGAGGGUCAUUGGAAACUGGGAGACUUGAGUGCAGAAGAGGAGAGUGGAAUUCCAUGUGUAGCGGUGAAAUGCGUAGAUAUAUGGAGGAACACCAGUGGCGAAGGCGGCUCUCUGGUCUGUAACUGACGCUGAGGCUCGAAAGCGUGGGGAGCGAACAGGAUUAGAUACCCUGGUAGUCCACGCCGUAAACGAUGAGUGCUAAGUGUUGGAGGGUUUCCGCCCUUCAGUGCU
rnacentral:rRNA from 1 species